GCGGAUUGGCUGGUGAUGAUGCCAUGGAGUCGGAGGAAAUGCUCGCGAUGCUGUACGGUAUGGCAAUCAUGAGGCUUGUAAAUGGUUUUGUGGAGAAUCAACAUAAGAAAACUGGCCGUUCAAUAUCUGAACUAGCUGAGGCUGUUGGAAUACCACGAGUUCUGGUGGACAUUCGCCAUGAAAGUUCCCAUCGCAACCUUCCCUCCCUGCGAUUCCUGAUGUUC